GACUGGAGCUGCGCAACGCGACUGUGCGCUCGAAUUGCCGCCCUCUCCGGACCCUCCGUCUCCCGAGCCACCCUCUUCGCCGGCUCCGCCGCCACCGGCCACCAUUGCCUCAUUCUUACCUCCACCGCCUCCUCCACCGCCACCUGAGAGCCCGCCGCCACCACCUCCACCGCCACCCGAUACCCCGCCACAGCCUCCACCUUCGCCGCCGCCACCGCCACCCGACGCUCCUCCUCCACCCCCGCCGGAUGCGCCGCCCCUGCCCCC
rnacentral:lncRNA from 1 species